rnacentral:rRNA from 1 species
UACAGAGGAGCCAAGCGUUGUCCGGAUUGACUGGGCGUAAAGCGCACGCAGGCGGUUGCGCGCGGGGGGGGUGAAAUCUGGCCGCUUAACGGCCAGGCGCCAUCCCAUACGGCGCGACUGGAGUGAUGCAGAGGUCGAUGGAAUUGCCGGUGUAGUGGUGAAAUGGGUAGAGAUCGGCAGGAACACCCAGGGGGAAACCAGUCGACUGGGCAUCUACUGACGCUGAGGUGCGAGAGCGUGGGGAGCGAACCGG